GACAGCAUGGUUCAGUGGUUUGAAUAUUGGACUACGACUGAAGAUCAGGGUUCGAUUCCCCGUUCACCCA